AAUUUAACCAAACAAAGGAAGGAAUACGUAGCGAUCCAGAUCUUACUAACUUUGAUAGAAGCACGACUUCCGUACGAAGAAAACUUGAGGGCAUAAUAUCUAGAUGAUCGUAUAACAAACAUAUUUCACAAACAUCUCACAUAAUAGAUUAAAACCUAUUAUUUUCUGAAAAUUUUGUCUUUCUAAUCUUAUAGGCAUAGUGUCUAAUUUAAACAU
rnacentral:lncRNA from 1 species